GGAUGGCGAGGAGCUCAAUGUACCUAAGGUCAUGGAAAUGCUGUGGACAAAGAUUAAUGCAACACAAAUGCAGAAGCAAGAGAGUUCAUAUCUGAAGCCCUUUCCAAGUUGCCUGAGCUGCCCAGAGAAUCUGACAUGCUACAUUUGAUCGAAUACAAGAAAUCCCUUAUGAACGCCUGCGUUAUGAACAUGGCUAUGAGCAUAGCCGAGGAGGCACUAACAAGGAACUGUCCUGGCCAAAAUUGACCUUAUUCAUGAAUGUCUUCAGAAGCAUUGACUUUGUGAAACGGGAUCCCUGGCUACUGACUUGAUAUUCUCUUGGAAUGAUAGCCUGAUGAGGCAACACAUGUACUAAAAAUUAAAGACUGCAGCAUAUAUA